rnacentral:lncRNA from 1 species
AGAUCAUUAGAGGUUUUAGAGCUGGCUGAGACAGGUUGCUGGGGUUGUAUAACUGUGCCUAGAGGGCGGGGUUCCUGUACAUUCCUACUUCGCCAGAUAACCUGCCCCCAACACCACUCCAGCUUCUGCCAGACAGAUGGAACUCUCCAACGUGAAAAUCUGCGCAGCUAUUCCAACAAGCAGGACUCUGCCUGGUGUUGGCCGAAGGAUGCAGAAGAAAAAGGUUUAAGGACUGGGACGCUCUUACCCCAAGAUUGGAUGAAGAUGGAAUCCAUUUCAGUCUGAAAUGUGUUUUAUGGCUGCAAUCGGGCAUUCCUCUGAUUUCUUGUUUCACUGGUUAGAUGGAUGAUCCAUUCCAGUCCAACUCAAGUGGUCUAAUAAAGACUCCCUUGGUCUAAUAUGGUAGGUCUUU